CGGCCUCACCCACCCUCACGCGCGCACAUGCAGAGCAGAGAGGACAAAGGGAGGCGGAGAAUAGAGCAUGGCGGCGGCGCCCUAGGUCAGACUUCUGCGUGCAUCCAUCUGCUCCGGCGCUCCCCACAGGCUUCCGACCUCCGUCGCUCACCUCCGACCUCUGGCCUCUACCCCUUCACUUCGUUGACCUCCGCCCUCCCUCGCGCCGUCGAGCGCACCGGCGCACGGCUCUGCGGAGCAAGAUAGAAGCCGCCGCCGACGCACAAGGGUAUUCAAAAGUGCCAACCUUGGUGCUGGUUAUGCUGCUGGUCAAGCCUACUUACCUGAAACAAUUCCUGAUGUUACUCCCGACCGUGUUAGCUAGAAAAAGAACGAAAGGUGGAAGGCAUGGAUACACUUCAUAGUUCAGAAUGAUGAUCCGAAUCAUGCUAACUGGACAAGUUUUUAUGCCAGAAUUUGUCUUGAGCAGUUCUGCUUGUGCUUGUACUAGACAAGUUUUUGUUCCAGAAUUUCUUCAUGUGGUUUGGCUGGACAUGUACUAAAUUAGUGCUUGUAGUUGACUUGUAGUCUUCUCCUAGAUUGUUAUACUGGAACAUAAAUUCUUCAUGUUUCAGAAUUUCUUCAAGUAGGUAACCAGGCUGUAGCUGUACUGGACAA